rnacentral:rRNA from 1 species
UACGGAGGGGGCUAGCGUUGUUCGGAAUUACUGGGCGUAAAGCGCACGUAGGCGGCUUUGUAAGUUAGAGGUGAAAGCCCAGGGCUUAACCCUGGAAUUGCCUUUAAGACUGCAUCGCUAGAAUUGUGGAGAGGUAAGUGGAAUUCCGAGUGUAGAGGUGAAAUUCGUAGGUAUUCGGAAGAACACCAGUGGCGAAGGCGACUUACUGGACACAUAUUGACGCUGAGGUGCGAAAGCGUGGGGAGCAAACAGG